rnacentral:rRNA from 1 species
CGGCUAANUACGUGCCAGCAGCCGCGGUAAUACGUAGNUCCCGAGCGUUGUCCGGAUUUAUUGGGCGUAAAGCGAGCGCAGGCGGUUAGAUAAGUNUGAAGUUAAAGGCUGUGGCUUANCCAUAGUACGCUUUGGAAGCUGUUUAACUUGAGUGCAGAAGGGGAGAGUGGAAUUCCAUGUGUAGCGGUGAAAUGCGUAGAUAUAUGGAGGAACACCGGUGGCGAAAGCGGCUCUCUGGUCUGUAACCGACGCUGAGGCUCGAAAGCGUGGGGAGCGAACAGGAUUAGAUACCCUGGUAGUCCACGCCGUAAACGAUGAGUGCUAGGUGUUAGGCCCUUUCCGAGGCUUAGUGCCGCAGCUAACGCAUUAAGCACUCCGCCUGGGGAGUACGACCGCAAGGUUGAAACUCAAAGGAAUUGACGGGGGCCCGCACAAGCGGUGGAGCAUGUGGUUUAAUUCGAAGCAACGCGAAGAACCUUACCAGGUCUUGACAUCCCGAUGCCCGCUCUAGAGAUAGAGUUUUACUUCGGUACAUCGGUGACAGGUGGUGCAUGGUUGUCGUCAGCUCGUGUCGUGAGAUGUUGGGUUAAGUCCCGCAACGAGCGCAACCCUUAUUGUUAGUUGCCAUCAUUCAGUUGGGCACUCUAGCGAGACUGCCGGUAAUAAACCGGAGGAAGGUGGGGAUGACGUCAAAUCAUCAUGCCCCUUAUGACCUGGGCUACACACGUGCUACAAUGGCUGGUACAACGAGUCGCAAGUCGGUGACGGCAAGCUAAUCUCUUAAAGCCAGUCUCAGUUCGGAUUGUAGGCUGCAACUCGCCUACAUGAAGUCGGAAUCGCUAGUAAUCGCGGAUCAGCACGCCGCGGUGAAUACGUUCCCGGGCCUUGUACACACCGCCCGUCACACCACGAGAGUUUGUAACACCCGAAGUCGGUGA